GUUAAACAAACAAACUUUCAUGGAGGACUGAGGAGGAUGCAUUUUGAAUUGUGGAGAGAAGAGGACAGACAUGUCACAACAAUGGCAGAUUGAGGAGACCACAUGGUAGACUUUGCAUUGCAUCUGUGUGCGACUGCCUUGAGCAGCAGUCUGAGGGACUUUGCAGGCAAAAUGCCGUGCAGUAAGGCGUAGGGGAUUGUCUGCAGCAGGACGACCCUCAGUGGAUGGACGCCGAGGGUGUGGUGCUCCUCCAGCAGCUUUCUCAUGAGAUUCUCUCUGUUCUUUUGGUGGUCCACCUUCCCUGUGGCCGACAUGAUCGCUGUAUGGACAGUGGAAAGGACAUGGAUGUCUCGUUUGCCAUGUCACUUUACUGCCAACCGUUACCUGUUCUCCUGGAACUCCACCUCCCCCUCUGCAUCUUCCUGCCUCCGAAUGCCGGCAUCCCUUUCCUCUUCUACCAAACCGUGCCACAGGUCCCAGUGCUGUUGGAGAGCAGAAGCUGGAAGAUUGUUGUACCAAUUCAAAUAAAUAUCAAAUGUUAUUGGUCGCGUACAGAUAAUUGGCAGAUGUUAUUGCAGGUGUAGCUAAAUGCUUAUGUUCCUAGCGGCAAUAG